GUUCGCCGCCCCUAGCGCCCCCUGGCGCCGCGCACGGGGCGCCGCAGGCGGAGGGAGGCGAACCACUUCCGGUCUCCAUUUUACGCCAGCGGAACAGCUCCCGGACAGGCUGAGCCGGGUUCUCGGGAGCGCGCGGCCGGGCUCGGCGGACACCGCCCUGGCGUGGCUCGGCGGGGUCCCGCCUACUUCCCCCCUCCCUGUACUGUAGGGGCGGCUCCCACCGAGACCGCGGGGAUGGGCGGCCGAAGCCUCCUUGUCAAACUCGUCCCCGGACACUGAUCCUCCCGCCCCGGCCGUCGAGCUUCAGCGGCUUCGCCCCUCGCGGGGAGAGCGAGCCCGUGCGAGCAGUAUGGACCAAAGCCUGGUGGGUCACCCGGUGACCCUCAUCAUCAAAGCGCCCAACCAGAAAUACACCGACCAGACCAUCAGCUGCUUCCUGGACUGGACCGUGGGCACGCUGAAAACUCACCUCUCCAAAGUCUACCCCAGUAAGCCGUCUACAAAGGAUCAGAGACUGGUGUAUUCUGGCAGACUGCUUCCUGAUCAUCUGCAGCUGAAAGAUAUUCUCA